GAUGAACGCUGGCGGCGUGCCUAAUACAUGCAAGUCGAGCGAACAGACGAGGAGCUUGCUCCUCUGACGUUAGCGGCGGACGGGUGAGUAACACGUGGAUAACCUACCUAUAAGACUGGGAUAACUUCGGGAAACCGGAGCUAAUACCGGAUAAUAUAUUUAACCGCAUGGUUCAAUAUUGAAAGACGGUUUUGCUGUCACUUAUAGAUGGAUCCGCGCCGCAUUAGCUAGUUGGUAAGGUAACGGCUUACCAAGGCAACGAUGCGUAGCCGACCUGAGAGGGUGAUCGGCCAAACGAGAACUGAGACAAGGUACAGACUCCUACGGGAGGCAGAAGUAGGGAAUCUUCCGCAAUGGGCGAAAGCCUGACGGAGAAACGGCGCGUGAGUGAUGAAGGUCUUCGGAUCGUAAAACUCUGUUAUUAGGGAAGAACAAAUGUGUAAGUAACUAUGCACGUCUUGACGGUACCUAAUCAGAAAGCCACGGCUAACUACGUG
rnacentral:rRNA from 1 species